AGAGAGAGAGAGAGAGAGAAAUUUCCAAGAAAAGAAGUAUAUAUGCAUGGUAUUAUCAACAACCAUAUCCAUGGUAAUGGCAUACGUAGUAGUUGCGCUUGUGCAGACAAGAUAAUCUUGAGAGACGAACUUGUUGACUGAUCAAAUUAAAUCUCUGUAUGGAGGAACCAACAAAAGUGAGGUAAUAAAUUUAUUUUAUUUUUCGUUCUUUUGUCCUAUUUGAUAUAUAUAUAUAUAAUUUAAAGAAAUGCUCAAGUAAUUUAAUUGGUUUAAUUGGUGCUUUGAAUUUUUAAAAGCACCACACUAUUAUACUCGUAAAUUAUAUAAAUUACAUUUAAAUAUUAAAUAUAAUAUUCGUAAAUUAUAUAAAUUAUGUUUAAAAUAAAUUAAUUCUAUGACAACAAAACUUUAAGUACAUUUAAAUUUUCGAACAUAAAUGAAUGGCACGAUAUCACUAUAUAAGUGUGUAUCAUAUGUUGUCAUUAUAUGUCAUGUAUGCAUGCGUGCUUAGUUAUGGUUGGAUGAUUAGAGAUUGCGCUGGUUCUUUGAUUGUUGUUGGGUGUGGCUCUUUUGCGGGUCAUUUAGAUUCUGAAAUGGCGAAAUCAAUCAGCUGCAGAGAGGCCCUUAGUUGGUUAAAGACUCAUCAAGCAGCGAAAGUGAUCCUUGAAUCAGAUACUUUCAAUCUUGUUCAGGCUAUUCGGGGAUCUGAUUCCUUUUCGAGUCCUUUAGGUUUGGUUAUUGAUGAUUGUAAGCAACUGCUCCUUGAUAUUGAGGAUUGUUGUAUUUGUUUUAUUAGGUGGUCAGCAAACGAUGUCGCACAUUCCUUAGCUCGUGCGUCAGGUUCUAUGUCUGGUAGCCAUGUUUGGAUAGGUUCUCCACCUCUCUUUGUUUGUAAUGCUUUGAUGUUGGAUAAUCAAUACUAGUACUCCAUACUUUGUCAAAAAUAAAACUAAAUUGU
rnacentral:lncRNA from 1 species